UUUGGUUAAGUUAGAAAGGGCGCACGGUGGAUGCCUUGACACUAGGAGUCGAUGAAGGACGGGACUAACGCCGAUAUGCUUCGGGGAGCUGUAAGUAAGCUUUGAUCCGAAGAUUUCCGAAUGGGGAAACCCACCAUACGUAAUGGUAUGGUAUCCUUAUCUGAAUACAUAGGGUAAGGAAGACAGACCCAGGGAACUGAAACAUCUAAGUACCUGGAGGAAGAGAAAGCAAAUGCGAUUUCCUGAGUAGCGGCGAGCGAAACGGAACAUAGCCCAAACCAAGAGGCUUGCCUCUUGGGGUUGUAGGACAUUCUAUACGGAGUUACAAAGGAACGAGGUAGACGAAGCGACCUGGAAAGGUCCGUCGUAGAGGGUAACAACCCCGUAGUCGAAACUUCGUUCUCUCUUGAAUGUAUCCUGAGUACGGCGGAACACGUGAAAUUCCGUCGGAAUCUGGGAGGACCAUCUCCCAAGGCUAAAUACUCCCUAGUGAUCGAUAGUGAACCAGUACCGUGAGGGAAAGGUGAAAAGCACCCCGGAAGGGGAGUGAAAGAGAUCCUGAAACCGUGUGCCUACAAAUAGUCAGAGCCCGUUAACGGGUGAUGGCGUGCCUUUUGUAGAAUGAACCGGCGAGUUACGAUCCCGUGCGAGGUUAAGCUGAAGAGGCGGAGCCGCAGCGAAAGCGAGUCUGAAUAGGGCGUUUAGUACGUGGUCGUAGACCCGAAACCAGGUGAUCUACCCAUGUCCAGGGUGAAGUUCAGGUAACACUGAAUGGAGGCCCGAACCCACGCACGUUGAAAAGUGCGGGGAUGAGGUGUGGGUAGCGGAGAAAUUCCAAUCGAACCUGGAGAUAGCUGGUUCUCCCCGAAAUAGCUUUAGGGCUAGCCUUAAGUGUAAGAGUCUUGGAGGUAGAGCACUGAUUGGAAUAGGGGUCCUCAUCGGAUUACCGAAUUCAGUCAAACUCCGAAUGCCAAUGACUUAUCCUUAGGAGUCAGACUGCGAGUGAUAAGAUCCGUAGUCAAAAGGGAAACAGCCCAGACCGCCAGCUAAGGUCCCAAAGUGUGUAUUAAGUGGAAAAGGAUGUGGAGUUGCUUAGACAACUAGGAUGUUGGCUUAGAAGCAGCCACCAUUUAAAGAGUGCGUAAUAGCUCACUAGUCGAGUGACUCUGCGCCGAAAAUGUACCGGGGCUAAAUACACCACCGAAGCUGCGGAUUGAUACCGAAUGGUAUCAGUGGUAGGGGAGCGUUCUAAGGACAGUGAAGUCAGACCGUAAGGACUGGUGGAGUGCUUAGAAGUGAGAAUGCCGGUAUGAGUAGCGAAAGACGGGUGAGAAUCCCGUCCACCGAAUGCCUAAGGUUUCCUGAGGAAGGCUCGUCCGCUCAGGGUUAGUCAGGACCUAAGCCGAGGCCGACAGGCGUAGGCGAUGGACAACAGGUUGAUAUUCCUGUACCACCUCUUUAUCGUUUGAGCAAUGGAGGGACGCAGAAGGAUAGAAGAAGCGUGCGAUUGGUUGUGCACGUCCAAGCAGUUAGGCUGAUAAUUAGGCAAAUCCGCUUAUCGUGAAGGCUGAGCUGUGAUGGGGAAGCUCCUUAUGGAGCGAAGUCUUUGAUUCCCCGCUGCCAAGAAAAGCUUCUAGCGAGAUAAAAGGUGCCUGUACCGCAAACCGACACAGGUAGGCGAGGAGAGAAUCCUAAGGUGUGCGAGAGAACUCUGGUUAAGGAACUCGGCAAAAUGACCCCGUAACUUCGGGAGAAGGGGUGCUUUCUUAACGGAAAGCCGCAGUGAAUAGGCCCAAGCGACUGUUUAGCAAAAACACAGCUCUCUGCGAAGCCGUAAGGCGAAGUAUAGGGGGUGACACCUGCCCGGUGCUGGAAGGUUAAGGAGAGGGGUUAGCGUAAGCGAAGCUCUGAACUGAAGCCCCAGUAAACGGCGGCCGUAACUAUAACGGUCCUAAGGUAGCGAAAUUCCUUGUCGGGUAAGUUCCGACCCGCACGAAAGGUGUAACGAUUUGGGCACUGUCUCAACCAGAGACUCGGUGAAAUUAUAGUACCUGUGAAGAUGCAGGUUACCCGCGACAGGACGGAAAGACCCCGUGGAGCUUUACUGUAGCCUGAUAUUGAAUUUUGGUACAGUUUGUACAGGAUAGGCGGGAGCCAUUGAAACCGGAGCGCUAGCUUCGGUGGAGGCGCUGGUGGGAUACCGCCCUGACUGUAUUGAAAUUCUAACCUACGGGUCCUAUCGACCCGGGAGACAGUGUCAGGUGGGCAGUUUGACUGGGGCGGUCGCCUCCUAAAGUGUAACGGAGGCGACCAAAGGUUCCCUCAGAAUGGUUGGAAAUCAUUCGUAGAGUGCAAAGGCAUAAGGGAGCUUGACUGCGAGACCUACAAGUCGAGCAGGGACGAAAGUCGGGCUUAGUGAUCCGGUGGUUCCGCAUGGAAGGGCCAUCGCUCAACGGAUAAAAGCUACCCCGGGGAUAACAGGCUUAUCUCCCCCAAGAGUCCACAUCGACGGGGAGGUUUGGCACCUCGAUGUCGGCUCAUCGCAUCCUGGGGCUGUAGUCGGUCCCAAGGGUUGGGCUGUUCGCCCAUUAAAGCGGUACGCGAGCUGGGUUCAGAACGUCGUGAGACAGUUCGGUCCCUAUCCGUCGUGGGCGUAGGAAAUUUGAGAGGAGCUGUCCUUAGUACGAGAGGACCGGGAUGGACGCACCGCUGGUGUACCAGUUGUUCUGCCAAGGGCAUAGCUGGGUAGCUAUGUGCGGAAGGGAUAAGUGCUGAAAGCAUCUAAGCAUGAAGCCCCCCUCAAGAUGAGAUUUCCCAUAGCGUAAGCUAGUAAGAUCCCUGAAAGAUGAUCAGGUUGAUAGGUUCGAGGUGGAAGCAUGGUGACAUGUGGAGCUGACGAAUACUAAUAGAUCGAGGACUUAACCAUAUAA
rnacentral:rRNA from 1 species